rnacentral:rRNA from 1 species
AUUGAACGCUGGCGGCAGGCUUAACACAUGCAAGUCGAGCGGGGGAAGGUAGCUUGCUACCGGACCUAGCGGCGGACGGGUGAGUAAUGCUUAGGAAUCUGCCUAUUAGUGGGGGACAACAUCUCGAAAGGGAUGCUAAUACCGCAUACGUCCUACGGGAGAAAGCAGGGGAUCUUCGGACCUUGCGCUAAUAGAUGAGCCUAAGUCGGAUUAGCUAGUUGGUGGGGUAAAGGCCUACCAAGGCGACGAUCUGUAGCGGGUCUGAGAGGAUGAUCCGCCACACUGGGACUGAGACACGGGCCAGACUCCUACGGGAGGUAGCAGUGGGGAAUAUUGGACAAUGGGGGGAACCCUGAUCCAGCCAUGCCGCGUGUGUGAAGAAGGCCUUAUGGUUGUAAAGCACUUUAAGCGAGGAGGAGGCUACUCUAGUUAAUACCUAGGGAUAGUGGACGUUACUCGCAGAAUAAGCACCGGCUAACUCUGUGCCAGCAGCCGCGGUAA